AGGAUAAUAGUUAACUAUAACAUUUGGGUUGCAUUCAAAAAAUAUUGAAUUUUCAAUUUAUCUUA
rnacentral:tRNA from 1 species